AAUCCAUAGGUUAAUGAGGCGAACCGGGGGAACUGAAACAUCUAAGUACCCCGAGGAAAAGAAAUCAACCGAGAUUCCCCCAGUAGCGGCGAGCGAACGGGGAGGAGCCCAGAGCCUGAAUCAGCAUGUGUGUUAGUGGAAGCGUCUGGAAAGGCGCGCGAUACAGGGUGACAGCCCCGUACACAAAAGCGCAUGUGCUGUGAGCUCGAUGAGUAGGGCGGGACACGUGGUAUCCUGUCUGAAUAUGGGGGGACCAUCCUCCAAGGCUAAAUACUCCUGACUGACCGAUAGUGAACCAGUACCGUGAGGGAAAGGCGAAAAGAACCCCGGCGAGGGGAGUGAAAAAGAACCUGAAACCGUGUACGUACAAGCAGUGGGAGCACCCUUUGGGUGUGACUGCGUACCUUUUGUAUAAUGGGUCAGCGACUUAUAUUCUGUAGCAAGGUUAACCGAAUAGGGGAGCCGGAGGGAAACCGAGUCUUAAUUGGGCGUUAAGUUGCAGGGUAUAG
rnacentral:rRNA from 1 species